UCUCUGGUAGUAUAGUGGUGAGUAUCCGCGCCUGUCACGUGCGAGACCGGGGUUCGAUUCCCCGCCAGAGAG
rfam:Strongyloides ratti strain ED321 Heterogonic genome assembly, scaffold: srae_chrx_scaffold0000002